rnacentral:rRNA from 1 species
GUAGGUGGCAAGCGUUGUCCGGGAAUUAUUGGGGCGUAAAGCGCGCGCAGGCGGUUCUUUAAGUCUGAUGUGAAAGCCCACGGGCUCAACCGUGGGAGGGUCAUUGGAAACUGGAGAACUUGAGUACAGAAGAGGAAAGCGGAAUUCCACGUGUAGCGGUGAAAUGCGUAGAGAUGUGGAGGAACACCAGUGGCGAAGGCGGCUUUCUGGUCUGUAACUGACGCUGAGGCGCGAAAGCGUGGGGAGCAAACAGGAUUAGAUACCCUGGUAGUCCACGCCGUUAAACGAUGAGUCGCUAAGUGUUAGGGGGCUUCCGCCCCUUAGUGCUGCAGCUAACGCAUUAAGCACUCCGCCUGGGGAGUACGGCCGCAAAGGCUG